UACGGAGGGUGCAAGCGUUGUUCGGAAUUACUGGGCGUAAAGCGCACGUAGGCGGGUCUAUUUGUCGAUUGUGAAAUCCCCGGGCUUAACCUGGGAAUUGCAGUCGAAACGGUAGAUCUUGAAUGCUUGAGAGGAUGGCGGAAUUCCUGGUGUAGUAGUGAAAUACGUAGAUAUCAGGAAGAACACCCGAGGCGAAGGCGGCUAUCUGGUGAUGCAUUGACGCUGAGGUGCGAAAGCGUGGGGAGCAAACAG
rnacentral:rRNA from 1 species